GACGAACGCUGGCGGCGUGCCUAAUACAUGCAAGUCGAACGCUUCUUUCCUCCCGAGUGCUUGCACUCAAUUGGAAAGAGGAGUGGCGGACGGGUGAGUAACACGUGGGUAACCUACCCACCAGAGGGGGAUAACACUUGGAAACAGGUGCUAAUACCGCAUAACAGUUUAUGCCGCAUGGCAUAAGAGUGAAAGGUGCUUUCGGGUGUCGCUGAUGGAUGGACCCGCGGUGCAUUAGCUAGUUGGUGAGGUAACGGCUCACCAAGGCCACGAUGCAUAGCCGACCUGAGAGGGUGAUCGGCCACACUGGGACUGAGACACGGCCCAGACUCCUACGGGAGGCAGCAGUAGGGAAUCUUCGGCAAUGGACGAAAGUCUGACCGAGCAACGCCGCGUGAGUGAAGAAGGUUUUCGGAUCGUAAAACUCUGUUGUUAGAGAAGAACAAGGACGUUAGUAACUGAACGUCCCCUGACGGUAUCUAACCAGAAAGCCACGGCUAACUACGUGCCAGCAGCCGCGGUAAUACGUAGGUGGCAAGCGUUGUCCGGAUUUAUUGGGCGUAAAGCGAGCGCAGGCGGUUUCUUAAGUCUGAUGUGAAAGCCCCCGGCUCAACCGGGGAGGGUCAUUGGAAACUGGGAGACUUGAGUGCAGAAGAGGAGAGUGGAAUUCCAUGUGUAGCGGUGAAAUGCGUAGAUAUAUGGAGGAACACCAGUGGCGAAGGCGGCUCUCUGGUCUGCAACUGACGCUGAGGCUCGAAAGCGU
rnacentral:rRNA from 1 species